GCCUGAGUAGCUCAGCUGGAUAGAGCGACUGCCUUCUAAGCAGUAGGUCGCAGGUUCGAAUCCUGUCUCGGGCA
rnacentral:tRNA from 1 species